GUAGGGAAUAUUGGGCAAUGGUCGGAAGACUGACCCAGCCAUGCCGCGUGCAGGAAGACGGCCCUCUGGGUUGUAAACUGCUUUUAUCUGGGAAGAAAAAGGCCAUGCGUGGCAAAUUGCCGGUACCAGAUGAAUAAGCACCGGCUAACUCCGUGCCAGCAGCCGCGGUAAUACGGCGGGUGCGAGCGUUGUCCGGAUUUAUUGGGUUUAAAGGGUGCGUAGGCGGCUGAUUCAGUCAGCGGUGAAAGACUUCGGCUUAACCGGAGCAGUGCCGUUGAUACUGGUUGGCUUGAGUGUCGGAGGGGUACAUGGAAUUGAUAGUGUAGCGGUGAAAUGCAUAGAUACCAUCAGGAACACCGAUAGCGAAGGCAUUGUACUGGCCGACAACUGACGCUGAUGCACGAAAGUGUGGAGAUCGAACAGGAUUAGAUACCCGGGUAGUCC
rnacentral:rRNA from 1 species